GCGGUCCACGGCCAGCAGGUACUGGGUCAGGUCGUUGGAGCCGACCGACAGGAAGUCCACUUGCCGUGCCAGUUCCUUGGUCUGAUAAACCGCC
rnacentral:tRNA from 1 species